rnacentral:rRNA from 1 species
UAGGGAAUCUUCCGCAAUGGGCGAAAGCCUGACGGAGCAACGCCGCGUGAGUGAUGAAGGUCUUCGGAUCGUAAAACUCUGUUAUUAGGGAAGAACAAAUGUGUAAGUAACUAUGCACGUCUUGACGGUACCUAAUCAGAAAGCCACGGCUAACUACGUGCCAGCAGCCGCGGUAAUACGUAGGUGGCAAGCGUUAUCCGGAAUUAUUGGGCGUAAAGCGCGCGUAGGCGGUUUUUUAAGUCUGAUGUGAAAGCCCACGGCUCAACCGUGGAGGGUCAUUGGAAACUGGAAAACUUGAGUGCAGAAGAGGAAAGUGGAAUUCCAUGUGUAGCGGUGAAUUGCGCAGAGAUAUGGAGGAACACCAGUGGCGAAGGCGACUUUCUGGUCUGUAACUGACGCUGAUGUGCGAAAGCGUGGGAAUCAAACAGG